CCUACGGGACGCAGCAGUGGGGAAUAUUGCACAAUGGGCGCAAGCCUGAUGCAGCCAUGCCGCGUGUAUGAAGAAGGCCUUAGGGUUGUAAAUACUUUCAGUUGGGAGGAAGGCGUUGAUGCUAAUAUCAUCAACGAUUGACGUUACCAACAGAAGAAGCACCGGCUAACUCCGUGCCAGCAGCCGCGGUAAUACGGAGGGUGCAAGCGUUAAUCGGAAUUACUGGGCGUAAAGCGCACGCAGGCGGUUGAUUAAGUUAGAUGUGAAAUCCCCGGGCUUAACCUGGGAAUGGCAUCUAAGACUGGUCAGCUAGAGUCUUGUAGAGGGGGGGUAGAAUUCCAUGUGUAGCGGUGAAAUGCGUAGAGAUGUGGAGGAAUACCGGUGGCGAAGGCGGCCCCCUGGACAAAGACUGACGCUCAGGUGCGAAAGCGUGGGGAGCAAACAGGAUUAGAUACCCUUGUAGUC
rnacentral:rRNA from 1 species